GUAAGUGCGAAAGCAUAGCAAAGCAUCCAAGAAGUUUCCAUUGUCCGUAGGAAUGAAUUUCAAGUACUGUUUGCUGCUGUUAUCUAUGCUGCUAGCCGGCGCUAGCGCUAGACCGACCUCAGACCCGCUCUCAGAGCCGCCUUGCUAUAGCCCACCGUGGUGUGGACCUCCCGGCCCACCCGGUACCCAAAAUAAGUAGAGUCGUUUAUUUUCGUAAUUAUUUCGUACCAUUUGCGAAAACAAUUAAACUUCCAUAAAGCAUACAAAUAAGUUUCUUACUGGUAAUUUUGUAAUGCUCAUGUGGCUGGGAACCUUUCAGUAAUUAGUACGGAUUUUUAUUUCCAAGGGAAAACACACAUAAAGAGCGCGAGGUUUCAUUGCCUGCGGAUUGAAAUAAACCAUUGAGUUUAGAGUUGCGUUUAGGGUCAGCAGACACCAACACAGUCAUCAAGAGCAAACACAUGCACAUACUCUUAAUAUGAGUCUCGUUUGUGCAGUUAGAAUUCAAAUAAGAAUUUGCCCA
rnacentral:sRNA from 1 species